CCGUUUUAGAAAUAACAGCACUUCUUGUACAUAGUCCCCCUCCCCAUUUUAUGGGACCCGCAAGUAUUGUGUGCAUGAUUUUCAUAUGCACAUUUCAAUAAUAACGUUUUUAGUUUCUCAAAAUCAUUGUCAGGUGGAUUAAUCCUAAAAAUCGGAAUUAAAAAGGAUUGUUUUUCAAGUGGAAAGUCAACCCAUUCUCCUGCCGUAUGGACACAUUGAUACACCUGGAUCGGUCGGCAGCUAAAGGAAUUAGCUCUGGGAACUCAUAGCUUGUAGGCCAAUGCAGCAGUAGGCCUAUCACUUUCCAAGUUUCUGACAGAGAUUUUCAUCUACAUUUCUUACAUUUGAAUGAUUUUAAGCACACGCUCUUAUCCAGAGCGGCUUACAUCUCCAGAUAGUUUAGUGGACCAGUCAUAGUCAGUCCAUUCAUCUCCAGAUAGCUAGGUGGACCAGUCAGUCCAUUCAUCUCCAGAUAGCUAGGUGGACCAGUCAUAGUCAGUCCAUUCAUCUCCAGAUAGUUAGGUGGACCAGUCAGUCCAUUCAUCUCCAGAUAGCUAGGUGGACCAGUCAUAGUCAGUCCAUUCAUCUCCAGAUAGCUAGGUGGACCAG
rnacentral:lncRNA from 1 species